AUUAAUUAGAAAGUAUAAUUAUAAAAUUUAGUUCUACUUUUAUUAGGAUUACCCACUGAACUGAAGCAUCUCAUUAAGUGGAGGAUAAGAAACUAACUAGGAUUCUCUUAGUAAAGGCGAUCGAAGAGAGAAAAGCUCAAUUCCAAAGUUUAAAUUUAAUUUAAACAAUGUGGAUAAAGGACUUAGAUAUAAUUAAAAAUCAUUUUGAAAGAAUGAACAAUAAAGAGUUAAAGUCUCGUUAAACGAUUAUAUCUAUAUAAUCCUUAAAGUGAGUAAGAUAGCUUGAGAUUGCUAUCCGAAUAGGGUGGUUUGACCCAUCCAAAGCUAAAUAAUAUGAGUAGACCGAUAGCGUACAAGUAGUGUGAACGAAGGAUGAAAAUUACUCCAAAAAGGAGGCUGAAAUAGUUCUGAACUUGUCUAGGGUUAUAGGUAAUUAUAUUACACCCGUCUUGAAACACGGAUUAGGGAGUUUAACUUAUAUACAAGUCUUAAAUGAAGGCGAAAGGAAACUAACCCUUAAAGGGGAGUUAGAGUAUAUAUGUUAGAACCCGAAUGAUGGUGAACUAUGCCUGCACAGAAUGAAGUCAGGGGAAACUCUGAUGGAAGUUUCGUCGCGAUACUGAUGUGCAAAUCGUUCGUUAGAUGUAGGUAUAGGUGCGAAAGACUCAUCGAACCAUCUAAUAGCUGGUUUCCUUCGAAGUUUCCCUAAGGAUAGCCGUAACAUUAAAUUAGUUAAGGCAGUAGAGCAAUGGGUAGAGGUGUAGGCUUACUACGGUGAGUCAACUUAUUUCCAAACUCCGAACGUCCUUGUUUAUUUAAUAAUUAUCUAAACGAAAUUAUUAAAAAGAAUAAAUGUUAUGAGUGGGCUCUGACCGGUAAGCGGUCAUGGCGAAAUGGGAUGAACCAAAUGUUAAGAUAAGGUGCCUAAUUCUUCAACCAUUGAAACCAUUAAAGGAGUCUUUGUAUUAAGACAGCAGGUCGGUGCCCCUAAAAGUAGGUAUCCGCUAAUGAGUUGUGUUAUAAACUCCCCUGCCAAAUACUAAGGCCCUGAAAAUGAAUGGCGCAUAUUGAAGAACCGAUACUUAACACUUGCUAAGUUUAUAGCAAGGAGUAGGAGGACGUGAUUAUAUCAUCGAAGUGUAAUUGUGAAAUUAUAUUGAGAUAUAAUUAUUGCACAUCCUAAUUGAAGUAGCGUUUAUCCAGGUAUAAAUCCUGGGGGCUGAUGAGGAGUAGGGUUUCUGGGCAACUUAAAUAGUCCCAGAGUUAGUCGAACCUAAUGAUUUAAUAAUUAAUCAGAAAGGGUAUAUAGUUGAUAUUCUAUAACUAUAAUUAAUUAUAAAUGGUGACAUUUUAGAUAAUUUUCUUCUUCUAUUAUAUACUGUUAUUAGGGUUAUCUUUCCUAAAUGACAUCUAAUUAUAUCUUUUAAAACUUGUCAAAAGGGGAAAAAUGAUGUAUAGAUGGCAAAAUAAUUCUUCGGAAUUAUUAUACAGAUAUAUAAUGGAACCAUGAAAAGAAAAUUAUUAAUAUAAUUAAUAUAUUCGUACCCAUAACCGCAUCAGGUCUCCAAGGUGAGUAGCCUAUGGCCAUUGAGCUAUGGUAGUUCAGGGAAUUCGGCCAAUUAGAGCUGUAACUUCGGGAGAAAGCUUGGCUCUGAUAGAAAUCAGAACCGAUAGUUACAAGGGGAGCCCAACUGUUUAAUAAAAACGCAGCGUUGUGCCACUCUGUCUAAAUUGAUUUGAACACAACGUGAAUCCUGCUCAGUGCUGUGCCUGUUAACAUCAAUCAAACGAACGAAGCACCGGUAAAUAGCUGGGGUAACUAUGACUCUUAUCAAAGUAGCGAAAUACCUCGUCACUUAAUUAGUGACCUGCAUGAACGGAGCUAUGAGGUUCUCACUGUCCCAAACUAUCACUCAGCGAACCAACAGAAGUGGGAACGGGCACUUAAUAUCCAGCGGGGGAAGAAGACCCUGUAGAGCUUCACUUUGGUCUGGUUUUGUAUAGCUUCGUUUAUGGUGCAGACUAGGUGGGAGAGUAAUCAAAUAUGAGAAACCACUACAUAAUCUGGAGUUAUGCUAAUUCUAUGAAAACAUGACCAGAUAGAAAGUUUGGCUGGGGCGGCACACCUUCGAAAGAGCAGCGAAGGUGGUCUACGUUGAGCUCAGUGAGGACAGAAAUCUCACGUUGAGGAUUAAGGCCAAAAGCUCAAUUUACUGCGCCUUUUUGUACUAGGAUCAGUUUGGAAACAAUGGCCUAACGAUCCCUAAUUAGUAUCAGGUCUUGAUACUUGGGGUGACAGACAAGUUACCUCCGGGACAACUGGCUUGUGGCUGCUAAGAGAUCAAAUCAACGCAGCUUUUUGAUUCUUCGAUGUCGGCUCUUCCUAUCCUAGUGAGGCACAACUCACUAAGGGUUGGAUUGUUCACCCGUAUUAGGGAUCGUGAGCUGGGUUUAGACCGUCGUGAGCCAGGUUUGUUUUAUCCUACUGGAUAUGCCAUCAUGAUAGUAGUUUGAUUCAGUACGAGAGGAACAGUUGAAUAUGGCCUCUGGUUAGCAAUUUCUUGACAAGGAAAGUUGCGUAGCUACGCCGUCUGAGAUAAUGGCUGAAGGCCUCUUAAGCCAGAACCUCAUCUAGAAAGUGAUGGAUAUCAUCCUUAUAAGCCUUAAAUAUUAACUUUAUAGCAAAAUUAAGGUUAGGAUGAAUAUAACCCAAUGUAGAAGACGUUGAAUCAACAAGGGUCCUGUAAGGAGCGGAGUGGCAUUACGUCCACGACUUUCUGAGGGUCAGCCUUGUUUGCUAGGUUAUGCUAUUAGCAUAU
rnacentral:rRNA from 1 species